rnacentral:rRNA from 1 species
GAGGAAUGUAUAGCAAUAGCUACUUGUAUCAUUAAUGAUGCAAGCUCGACUAUGUUGAAUAAAAUUCUAGGUAGAAUUAUGAUAAUGACAUUGUCUGCCUAUGUGUCUUGACCAAAUUACGUGCCAGCAGUCGCGGUAAUACGUAGAAGACUAGUGUUAUUCAUGUUUAAUCGGUUUAAAGGGUACCUAGACGGUGAAUCAAGCUUUAAAAGAAUAAAAGGGACUAAUUCGCUAGAGUUACUUACGAGGGGGCUUUAAAGUACUGCUGGUGUAGAGAUGAAAUUCUGUCAUACCUCUUUUCGAAAGAAGAAUAACGGCACAGGUAUAGGCGAAGGCAUCCCCUUAUGUGAUAACUGACGUUGAGGGACGAAGGCUUCAUGUAACAAACAGGAUUAGAUACCCUAGUAGUUGAAAGCAGAAAAUGAUGAAUGUCAUAGAUUAGACGUCUAAGUUUAUUCUAUAAAUGAAAGUGUAAGCAUUCCACCUCAUGAGUAAUUUGGCAACAUUGGAAUUGAAAUCAUUAGACCGUUUCUGAAACCAGUAGUGAAGUAUGUUGUUUAAUUUGAUAAUCCGCAAAAAACCUUACCACAAUUUGAAUAUUUAUAUUAUUUAUUGUUAUCUUAUUAAUUUUCUUCCUUUUUUUACAUUAAUCAAAAACCAAACUAAGAAGAAAAAAAACCAAACAAAUAAAAAAAAACAAAGAGAAGAAAUAACAAAAAAGAGAAUAAAAUUAAUGAAGAGGCAAUAACAUAUAUCUACAAGCGUUGCACGGCUGUCUUCAGUUAAUGUCGCGAGACUUUGGUUAGUUCCAUUAAAUUAACGUAAACCCUUACUUUAUUUUUUAUAUAGAGUAGUUCCCCGCUAGAUUGGAUAUGAU